GUMUUUAUGAAAAUAAUAUUAAGUCGGGCCUGCCCAAUGAUUAAUUUAAUGGCCGUGGUAUUUUGACCAUGCAAAGGUAGCAUAAUCAUUUGUUUUUUAAUUAAAAGCUGGAAUGAAGGGUUUGAUAAAAAAAUAACUGUCUCAAGUUUAAUAAUAGAAUUUUAUAUUUAAGUUAGAAAGCUUAAAUUUUUUUAAAAGACGAGAAGACCCUAUAGAGUUUAAUAUAAUUUUUUAUUUUUUAUAAAAGAUUAAAUAAGAGAAUAAUUAUUUAUAUUUGAUUGGGGUGAUUGAAAAAUUUAAUAAACUUUUUUUUUAUUAAAACAUAAAUUUAUGAAUAUUUGAUCCAUGAAAUGAUUAAAAGAUUAAAUUACCUUAGGGAUAACAGCGUAAUUUUUUUUUAAAGUUCAAAUUAAAAAGAAAGAUUGCGACCUCGAUGUUGGAUUAAAAUAUAAAAUUGGUGUAGAAGCUAAUUUAUUAAGUCUGUUCGACUUUUAAAAUUUUACA
rnacentral:rRNA from 1 species